UACGAAGGGGGCUAGCGUUGCUCGGAAUCACUGGGCGUAAAGGGUGCGUAGGCGGGUUUUUAAGUCAGGGGUGAAAUCCUGGAGCUCAACUCCAGAACUGCCUUUGAUACUGAAGAUCUUGAGUUCGGGAGAGGUGAGUGGAACUGCGAGUGUAGAGGUGAAAUUCGUAGAUAUUCGCAAGAACACCAGUGGCGAAGGCGGCUCACUGGCCCGAUACUGACGCUGAGGCACGAAAGCGUGGGGAGCAAUCAGG
rnacentral:rRNA from 1 species